rnacentral:tRNA from 1 species
GGCGCCGUACCCAAGCGGUAAGGGAGCGGUCUGCAAAACCGUUAUGCAAGGGUUCGAUUCCCUUCGGCGCCU